rnacentral:lncRNA from 1 species
CUCCAUGGAGGCGGCGCACACGCAGGGGAAAGGCAGUCUCCGGUGAUGUGAUGCGACGCUCGACAACGACCAUCCGUGCGGCGACUCAACAACUCAUCCAUGGCACAACUCUGUGGUGCCACCUCGAGGCAACGCUACUGGUCCUGCAAGUCACCGAUGAUGGAGCUGCAAUGAAGCGCUCGUCGCCGACAACGCUGCAUCGCAGCAUCUGUCAUGGCCGCCAACUGCAUCUCAGCUUUCGCCGUUGUCACCGCGUGCUGCAUCGCAACAUCCGCCAUGGUCGUCGACACUGCAUCUGAUCGAUAUUGCAAUGAAGCUUCAUCGAGGCCGUCUAGCGGUGCAACGGAGCGUCGUCGGCCCUGCGGAAGUGACCGCGGCAAGUGGCCGACGGGGUACUGCAACUCCGGCGACGUUGCCU